GACGAACGCUGGCGGCGUGCUUAACACAUGCAAGUCGAACGGAAAGGCCCUGCUUUUUUUGGGUGCUCGAGUGGCGAACGGGUGAGUAACACGUGAGUAACCUGCCCUUGACUUUGGGAUAACUUCAGGAAACUGGGGCUAAUACCGGAUAGCAGCUCCUGCUGCAUGGUGGGGGUUGGAAAGUUUCGGCGGUUGGGGGUGGACUGGGGGCUUAGCGGCUUGUUGGGGGGGGAGUGGGUUACCAAGGCGUUGACGGGUAGCGGGCCUGAGAGGGGGAACGGCCACAUGGGGACUGCGAUAAGGGCCAGAAGCAGAAGGGAGGCAGGGGUGGGGAAUAUUGCACAAUGGGAGGAAGGCUGAGGGAGCAACGCCGGGUGCGGGAUGACGGCCUUCGGGUUUUAAGCCGCUUUCGCCUGUGACGAAGCGUGAGUGACGGUAACGGGUAAAGAAGCACCGGCUAACUACGUG
rnacentral:rRNA from 1 species